ACUUGGUGAUGUGGACAUUUACACAAAAGGUCCCUAAAGCGCUUCCAUGUCUCAAGAAUUGUUCACCAUUUAUUUGUGAGAAACUAGCUAUUGCCUUCCUAAGCU